CUCAGAGAGAUUGAACAACUUACACAAGCACAGAGCACACCGAGAAGUCAAAGAAACCAUACCAAAAUUGGCCUUCCAUGGAAAUUUCCAAGUUCUCAUCAAAACCUCCUCUGACAACUUGUGUUCACAGCGGAUACUGUGGAAAUGCCGCCCACUCUGCACGGUGUGUGGCCAGCAUUCGAGCUGGGUCCCCCGUCGA